rnacentral:rRNA from 1 species
CGGCGAGGGGAGUGAAAAAGAACCUGAAACCGUGUACGUACAAGCAGUGGGAGCACGCUUAGGCGUGUGACUGCGUACCUUUUGUAUAAUGGGUCAGCGACUUAUAUUCUGUAGCAAGGUUAACCGAAUAGGGGAGCCGAAGGGAAACCGAGUCUUAACUGGGCGUUAAGUUGCAGGGUAUAGACCCGAAACCCGGUGAUCUAGCCAUGGGCAGGUUGAAGGUUGGGUAACACUAACUGGAGGACCGAACCGACUAAUGUUGAAAAAUUAGCGGAUGACUUGUGGCUGGGGGUGAAAGGCCAAUCAAACCGGGAGAUAGCUGGUUCUCCCCGAAAGCUAUUUAGGUAGCGCCUCGUGAAUUCAUCUCCGGGGGUAGAGCACUGUUUCGGCAAGGGGGUCAUCCCGACUUACCAACCCGAUGCAAACUGCGAAUACCGGAGAAUGUUAUCACGGGAGACACACGGCGGGUGCUAACGUCCGUCGUGAAGAGGGAAACAACCCAGACCGCCAGCUAAGGUCCCAAAGUCAUGGUUAAGUGGGAAACGAUGUGGGAAGGCCCAGACAGCCAGGAUGUUGGCUUAGAAGCAGCCAUCAUUUAAAGAAAGCGUAAUAGCUCACUGGUCGAGUCGGCCUGCGCGGAAGAUGUAACGGGGCUAAACCAUG